GCGACCGAGUGUCUCUCAUGCUGAACCUGGAGGCCGCGCAGGCGGACAAAUGGUUGUUACUCCGAUGUCCGGGGCAGCAUUUUUAGCGAUUGUCUCUAUGCCGUUGACAUGAUUGCACAACCGUUUUCCCUUCUCAACUCGCAUCGAGUCAUGAACUCUCACUUUCUCCCUUUGUUUGUUUCUGCUCAGAUCCGGUGAGUCCACGUGUGCGCUCGAGAAGCGAGGCUUCCGCGCUGCGCCGCGCGCGCGACACUGUGCUUGUGACGAUGAUCGUGAUUAGAAAGCUAAUGAUAAAUGACCAUUGAGACCCUUUCGUUUACUAUCUCCAUUAUUGAUUCAGAAAGCUCUUUCACUGAGGCCACUCAAAUUAGCCAACCGCUAGGGGAGACGUCGCCGAGGCCGAGGUAUGAAUCAUUCCCCUGAGCAGGAGCCGUGGCAGGCCUGGGACGCGCAUUUCCACCACCUGAGAUUUACGCGCAGCCCCCACGAUCGGGAUCCUCUCCACCUGGUCAUCUUCAAAAUUGGUUAUUGAUCUUCCAAUCGCGAAAAUGAAUCAUACCUUGCCAACGCUGUUUAGGCACCGCGUUCACAGCGUAGCUCGGCUCGUGUCGCGCGCCGACAUGCAGCCGGAGGAUGGAGUGCGUCGUUUUCCCCACGAGAAAACGAAUACCUGCGCGGAACGGGGGAGUAAAUAGGAAAAAGAAAUUAGGGGUCUACCAUUAGAUGAGGAAGUGUCAUGUUGUCAUCCAGCAGAGGCUCAUUAUAACACAUCAAAACAGCCGGAGAAGCUUUUUGACAGUCGCUCAGGUGGGCUUCCGUCAUUGAUCUCCACGCCGAAGCUUGUCACCGGCCAGAUGAAAGCGCCGGUCGCCGCCAGCACUGACUUCAGAUGACCGGGCUUAAUGUUCUGUCGAUGGACUCACAUCUGGACAGCCGGUUUCAGAGCGGCGAGGGGACCUGCUCAGCAGUGUGAGAUGUUUUCCUCACAAUGCUCUUCAAUACCAAAUUCCAGCCUAAAAAACCCCCCAAAAAUGCAUCAGAGGUUAAUGAGACUUGAUAUUGAUCUUCUAUGGCCUCUUUGGUUGCCAUAGAAGCAACACAAUGGGACAUCAUCCGCCACGGCCAAUCAAAUCCAUUCCUUGUGUACUUUGUAUUGUAAAUGUUUCUAUUUUAGGAUCAUCAACGAAAUAUAAAAUAAGGGGGCUGUACAUUUCCCCUGCCUGUCUUUAAAUUAUGAACCACUGAAAGAAAAUGGGGCCAUUGCCCGAAAAGAAAAAUGUGGAGGCUGGUGGCGCUCGAGGACUAAUGGGAAGCCUGAUCCGUAUAUAUAUGUGAUAUAGCAGCAGCAUGGUCCUUUUGCCACUAACACACUGAACUGUUUUCACCCAUGUGAGUCGGCAAUAUUCUUUUUCUUUUCUUUUUAGCAAUUUUUAUUCCAAAUUUGGACCAGUUGCACCUUUUUGGGGGGUCCGCUUGAUUGACCUUGUUCAGUGUUUUAACCAUUGGAUAACGAUGUUCUAGUCAAGACCUUUCAGACGGCGAUGGAAACGAGGCCAUCUGUUGGGAGUGUGUCAGUGAAGUGGACAACAGGCUAAUGGACGGACAAUCCUGAACAAACGAGUCCAGUUGUCUCUUCAGCCGGAGUUGUACUUGCCAAUGAGCUUAGUUCUAAAGCUGUGUUAUCGCACCACGAUGUUUGAAAACAAGAAUUAAAGUGAGAAGAUUCGCCCCUGUGUGUGAUAUCCGAAUUAAGACUAAAAUCGUGGAGCAAUUUGGGAAGUUGUAAAAAAAAAAAAAAUAGUCCAGUAUUAUUUGUGACAAACUAAAUAUAAUGUAGAACCCAGAACGCUAACUGUGUGCCAUCAAACCCAGAUAAAGAUUCAUUCAGCAAAUAUGUCAUCAAUUUUAACAAUAAAAAACGCACAAUUAGAUAGUUUAGAGUUUGUUUUAUUUCUGGAACAGUCACUUUUUGCUACAUAACAGUUUAAUACAGUUUCAUUUAGCGAUGUCUUCUAUUGGUAACAUAUGGUUGUAGCCUACAAAAAUAAAUCAGCUUUUUGUUUUGUUUGU
ensembl:lncRNA